rnacentral:lncRNA from 10 species
GGAGGCGGAGCUUGCAGUGAUGCACUCCAGCCUGGGUGACAGAACGAGACUCCGUCUCAAAAAAUAAUAAUAAUAAAAUAAAAUAAUAAUAAUAAUAAUUAGUGGGUGAGGCCGAUGAUUCUGUCCUUCAAAUAUGUGAAGAUUAAAUUAAGGUCAUCUGGGACACAGCAGCAGUGAUGGAGAAGAGAAUGGGGGCUGGACGAUAGAGGACCAGACCUGGAGGGUCUCGUGGAGAAGGGGUCCUCGAAGAGAUAAUGGAGCACCAUGGGUGGCCAGGAAGCUAUGCCAGUCUAUCCCACGUGGACACCCUUUGCCUUCACUUUUAUGUACUUUGAUAUAACAGCCGCAUUGGCCGGGGCGGGGCACUACCAAAAGGCAGGACUCAGCCUGGGGUCCUGCUUCCCAGCCCCCAGGUAGCUCUCUGUAGAGGGUCCUUCCCUGCAGGCAAUGAGCUCCCCGUUUGUAGCGGCUGUGCAUGGGUUAAUUGAUGUCUUCAUUGGAAUGGUGAGGCUGGGUCUGCAGAAGAGGAAAGAAAAGAGUAUGUUAAUUAAAACUGUCAACUAAAGAAAAACUCAGGCUUUUAAAGAAUUAGUUUUAUUCACAAAUCUUACCUAGAAUGGCAACCCGUGAGCGACUUUGAGAGAGUUUCUGUUAGACUGCUCCAGCCCGUAGUUUGCGUGCGGGUGCUGGUGGGUCUGCCCUGCAGAGAGUUGCGUUAGCAACCAUCCCUCCCUCCAGCGCUCGCCUCCGGGUCCCUAAGGAAAACGUUCCCCUGGUCAGGACGCUGGAGCGCGCAUGGGCCUCGCAGCCAUUGACGACUGGACGCGAGCUGCGGUACAAACCCCGACGCGGAGACGUUGGCGACAGUGGCCGCUGGGGGAGCUGCUGAGUGCCGCCCAGCACUGGGCUCCCUUUCCCUUCACUCUCGGCAGUUUCUUGCCUCCGUGGGUGGUUGGCGCGUCUGCGGAGCCAGAGUCGUUGUGUGGAUCGUGGGACUGCAGCCCCAGCCAAAGGGCUGUCACGUCUGGUCGGUUCCGUCACCCACGGUUCCGGUUUCCAGUCGUUAAGGGUCCAGCAGUCUGUUAAGUAGCUCCCUGUCCCUUCUGGAAGCUUGGCCAGGGAAGGUCAUUCCACCUUUGAGUUCCAGAGACAAGGUCUCACUGUGUCACCCAGGUCGGAGUGCACUGGUACAAUCAUAGCUCAUGGCAACCUCAAACUCCAAGGUUCAAGUGAUCCUCCUGCCUUGGCCUCUGGAAGUGUUGGAAUUACAGCUGUGAGCCAUGGUGUUGGGUAUCAGAAGAACCAGCCCCCAAUAUUUCAGCAUGAAAUCUCGCUCUGUCAUCCAGGCUGGAGUGCAGUCGCACUAUCUCAACUCAUUGUAACCUCUGCACUUGUUCCCUAAAAUCACUGUUAUUCUGUUCUUUUUUAAGGUGCACUGAUUUCAUAUUGUUCAAAUGCACAUUUACAAUCAGAUUUCAUAUUGUUCAAACACACAUGUUUUACAAUCAAUUUGUUAGUUAAUGCAAUCAUCACAGGGUCCUGAGGUGACGUACAUUCUCAGCUUAUGAAGAUAACAGGAUUGAGAUUAAAAUAAAGACAGGCAUAAGAAAUUAUAAGAGUAUUAUUUGGGAACUGAUAAAUGUUCA